rnacentral:rRNA from 1 species
GGGGUAAUGGCCCACCAAGGCUACGAUGGGUAGCUGGUCUGAGAGGAUGAUCAGCCACACUGGGACUGAGACACGGCCCAGACUCCUACGGGAGGCAGCAGUGGGGAAUCUUGCGCAAUGGGCGAAAGCCUGACGCAGCAACGCCGCGUGCGGGAGGAAGGCCUUCGGGUUGUAAACCGCUUUCAGGGGAGACGAAGCUUCCAGGGUUAAUAGCUCUGUGGAGUGACGGUAUCUUCAGAAGAAGUCCCGGCUAACUACGUGCCAGCAGCCGCGGUGAUACGUAGGGGACAAGCGUUGUCCGGAAUUAUUGGGCGUAAAGCGCGUGUAGGCGGCCAAGUAAGUCUUACGUGAAAUCCUGAGGCUCAACCUCAGGCCUGCGCGGGAUACUGCUUGGCUAGAGUCCGGAAGAGGAGAGUGGAAUUCCUGGUGUAGCGGUGGAAUGCGCAGAUAUCAGGAGGAACAUCCGUGGCGAAGGCGGCUCUCUGGGGCGGUACUGACGCUGAGACGCGAAAGCGUGGGGAGCGAACAGGAUUAGAUACCCUGGUAGUCCACGCCGUAAACGAUGGGCGCUAGGUGUGGGAGGUGUCGAUUCCUUCCGUGCCGAAGCUAACGCAUUAAGCGCCCCGCCUGGGGAGUACGGUCGCAAGACUAAAACUCAAAGGAAUUGACG